rnacentral:tRNA from 1 species
GCUAUCGUAGCUUAAUUAAAGCAUAAUACUGAAGCUGUUAAGAUGAGCCCUAGAAAGCUCCGAAAGCA